UACGGAGGGUGCGAGCGUUGUCCGGAUUUAUUGGGUUUAAAGUGUGCGUAGGUGGCUUGGUAAGUCAGUGGUGAAAUGCGGCCGCUCAACGGUCGAACUGCCAUUGAUACUGCCGGGCUUGAGACAGAUGGAGGCCGCCGGAACGGAUGGUGUAGCGGUGAAAUGCAUAGAUAUCAUCCAGAACACCGAUUGCGAAGGCAGGUGGCUACGCCUGUUCUGACACUGAGGCACGAAAGCAUGGGGAGCAAACAGG
rnacentral:rRNA from 1 species